CAGCAGUUCAGUGGCAGCAGCCAUCCUAGUGCCUUUUAUAGCCAUGAUCAUUGCAGGCUUUGCUCUGUACCUCUAUAAACACAGAAGAAGACCCAAAGUCCCCUUCAAUGGUUAUGUGGGCCAUGAGAACACUAACGGGCGAGCUACGUUUGAAAACCCUAUGUAUGACCGCAACAUCCAACCCACUGACAUCAUGGCCAAUGAGACAGAGUUCACAGUCAGCACAGUGUGCACAGCUGUAUAGCAGCUGUUUCCUCCAGAGUCAGGUGAGGAGACGUGCACCACAUCUUUGCCUUCCUGCCAACAGAGGACAUCUGUAGUUCCCCGAGCAGAGAGCAAGACAAAGAUUAUUUUAUUUGCCGAAAUACAUUCAACAAACAUAUCCAGUGGAAAAGGCUCUUACCCGCAGGAGACAUGAAAAAAAAAAAAAAGAAAACCAUGUGAAGACGGCGACUGUAACAAAUGCCAACAACAAAAGGCUUUUUGUAACUUUACAUGGUUUCUUGAUCAUUGUCCAUAUUUCGAGGAAAAGCUUCCACCUGAAACUGCAUCCAGCAGGAGUCCUGCUGGAAGCAAAGCUGUGAUGACUUUUCUCGGCCGCCCUCGGCCUAAACCCAAAGGGAAUUUAAUGGUCAACUUUAAGUCAAGAAAUUGACCUGUAGCUAACGGAGAUCUCUGUGCAAGUGAACAUGAACGGUGGAC
rnacentral:lncRNA from 1 species